UCACCUAGAGUUGGGAUUAGAGAAUUUAAAUAAUAAUAAUAUGGUGCCGAAAGCAUAUCGUGUGAACGAAGCAGUUCCUUCCCGACCCUUCCUCUAGAUUAUGAUUAUUGUGAACAAUAAUUAAAUUUCAGUUACGAUUACGUACUUUCCCACCGAGUGAGAUUUCUCCCCUUGCAUAAGUACAGGUAAAGAUGGAUAGGUAAGACGCACGGAGGGUCGAAAUCAAUGGAACAAAGAAAAGGGGGGCCUUUGUAUGCGUUUACGCAAGGAUAACACGUGCGCAAACGAUCCCACGGUUUUGUAGGGAGGAUAUUUCGGGACCCAUAUAUAAAGCUCCACACAUUGCAGAAAUAUCAUUAUCAAAUCAUUGGAGCAAGAGUGCAGAGCACCGGGGACCCGGCGGGUCCCCGGGUUAACUCAUUUAUGCAUAAGCUGCUCGUAUAAACGUCUUCAAAGUUGCCAUCACUAGUUUGUCAAUUAAAACUCGGAAGCAGAAGUGAAGUUAAUUAAUGUUUAUGUAACUAAAAGCAGUUUCGUUUCGUGAAAAACAUCUUCGGGAAGUUUGCCGCACGAUUGUAGCAGCGGCACCAUUUUCGAAUAUUUAUGGAUGUCCUUUCCGUGAAAAUAUAUUCAAAUGAAAAGGGGAGGAUUUUUUAGAAAACCACAAAUUACACUGUCAGAUGUCGGUACAACGCAACAAGUCAAACGGUGAAAAUGGAUAUACUUUAGUGGAUGCCCAAAGAUAGAUUUAGGAUUAGAAUAGGGUUUUCUGUUAGGUAGGUUUUAGGCUGUAGGCAUUUUCUUUGUCCUUAUCAUUAGUUUCGAGAUAACUUCAAAGUAUAAGUAACGAAGUGAUUUUUCUAUAACUGAUUAGUUUUUCAUUUGCUCAAAAGUGCCUUAAUGUACGGUCUUGUUUUAUUCAUGUUUUUUUUCGUUUCAUCGUUAAAUAUCCUGUGGAUUGUUUACUUUCAACUUGUAAUUGUUACAAAACAAAAAAAAAAAUGUUAGUGUUUGGAUUCAGUUGUUCUUCUGUAAGUUAUUCUUUUUUAAGUUUGAUGAUCACUUUAUGUUAAAAGUUACCUUUAAAAUAUAUAGUUACGUUUUGUGAUUGACAGUUUAAUUGUUUUGAACUGUGACAGAAACGAUUAUAAUUGUUGUGAACCUGAAAAUUAGUUAUUUGACUUAACAGUAAAAAAAAAUAUCAACCUUUUAGUAGUUUUCGAUGCGGUACGUCAGUGUAAAACUUGUUGCCUUCUUUUUAAGUGUUACGUUUUUGUUGAAAAAAUCUGUUUGUUUUGUAAAAGUUAUUGUUAUGUUCUUGUUGGCAAUCACGUUAUCAAUUCGUUAAGUUUGAAAAUAGCCUUAAAAACCACCAUUGUUCCAAAUUCAAAUUCGAUUUUGUUAAAACCGUUGAAUUUCAGUUUUGUUGUUUAAUGCGUAAGAAACAUUUCAAGUUUUCAUGAAACAUCUUCAUUUCAAGUUUUGUUAAUUUGCCAGUUACUGUUAAAUAAUUUUGUUUUGUUUCUUGUUGCUGCCGUGUCGUUAUCGCGUUAUGUUGAAGUUGUUCUUUGGUAUUGUUGAAUCAGUUAAGUUUAUGUUAUGAACCUAUUCAGUAACACGUGCACCCAAAUAGAACAUACACUUUUGUUAUUUGUUGUUGUAAGUGCGUAUUAUUUUCUCAAAAAUUUAAUUCUGCAAUAGUUGCUCACUAAAAGAAUCAAGAAGUGCCUUAUGCUACCCAAAAGUGCCUAAUUAUUGUUGUUUACGCUUGUAGGAUAUUGCGGUGCCUUCUGUUAGAGUUUUGAUAUUAAAACUUUAUCAGGAUGCUUUCUAAAGUUUUGAAAUUACCGUGUCUAGCAAGUGUACUAAAGUAUGUACCUCUACUUAGUACUUAAGUUUUUAAACGUGAUAGUUCAAAGACUUAAAUUUGAAAAUUAUUUUUUUAUAUUCGACGCGGUAAUCAAAACUUUUUUAAACGGUCUAGUGAAUAUUUUGUCCCCUUUUCAAAAUUACAGUAUAAUGUACACAUAGCAAUACCAGUAAUUAUUAUUUUAAUAAUUUUGUACGGAUUCCAGCACAUACGAGCGUCAUCACUGAUUUUAAAUAAACUCAGCUUAAACAUUUUACAAAUAAAGUAUAUUAAUGUGUGGCGCCUGGGGGAUAAAAUACUCAUUACGCUGCUAUUGUUACUUGUUUCGUAACUCGUUGGUUAUUAAAUUCUGUUCAUGUUAAGUAAUUUUAAGCGUUGAAUUGUUGUUAAGUUAAAACGUUUAUGUUGUUGAUUGAAAUGGCUGUGUUUGUUAGUUUUAUGUUAAGUUUUCGUUUUAACUGUUAGUGUUGUUUUUUUUGCUACACCGUCAUUAAGGCCCGUCAAUUUUGAAUUGUCUGAAGUUUCCAAUAAUGUUUCCGUGUGUGUAUUAUCGUGUAAGUUUAUGUUAAGUCGUGUAAGGUUAAAACUGAAGCUUUGUGUAAAAUUAACAAAUAAGUUUUGAUUAUUUAUUAGGGACGUAAGAAAGACAUUGUGUGAGUUGUGUGUGUGAAAUAAAUUAAUAACUAAUAAAA